CAGCAACUUCAUGAUCGCUACUAAGGACAAGGAGGCGAUUCUCCUGCCUUAUCAUCCCACGUACAUAGACCAGAGAUGGCGAAGGAAUACUACGCCGUGUUUGUUGGGAGGGUUGCAGGAGUCUACGACCACUGGCCAGAUGCUCAGUCCAAGGUGGACAAGUACCCGGGUGCUAGCCACAGAGGGUUUCACAGCAGAGACGAAGCAAAAAUUAGUUACUUGAGGUGGACGCUCCGGCAAGAGCGGGGGCGGAACUGCCGGUGCGUCAAGUACUACAUAGUCGCACUGUUGCUCAUGCGUGUCGCUCUUCUCUUCUACGUCAUGGUUUAGAUAGAGAUGAUGAAACCUGUGUGUCUGCCAUGACCAUGCAGUUGAACAUAUUCAAGACAUGACAUGGCUUGUGUAUCGCUACUUUCGCGAUGUGAUGAUAUUUGUGUUGAAUGAUGAUGAUGAUGGUAUGAA